AUGGUUCCCUGCUGUUUCUGUGUGGCCAUGCUGGCCCCUCUGGGCUGGGCCCUUCAGCAAUCACCAGAUACAGUUGUCCGGGUGGGAGACACCAUCACUCUGGAAUGUUCUGGACAGGGCAACAUAGUCAAGACCAUGUACUGGUACAAGUUACCCAUGGAGAAGGAUGCCAGAAUGCAGCUGGCUGUGUAUUCAGUGGAAGGUGGCAAAGCAGAUAUUGAGAAGGAAUUCCAAAAUCGCUUCCAGAGUAGCGGGACUAGGAACAACCAUUUAGCUGUGCAGAUCCAGCAUGCCCUACUCAAUGACACAGGCACAUAUUUCUGUGCUGAAAAAGAUCCACACGGUCACACGCAAUUGUUCUUUGGCAGUGGGACAAAACUUACGGUCAUAGGCAAGAAUGCGGAAAUCAUACCUCCAGCCGUGGCCAUCUUUUCCCCAUCAAAGCAGGAGAUCCAGCAGAAGAGCAAGGCCACGCUGGUGUGCCUGGCCUCUGGUUUCUACCCUGACCACCUGACUCUGGUCUGGAGGGUGAAUGGUGUGAAAAGGACCGAAGGGGUGGGGACAGACGAGUACUCCACACAGAAUGGGAGCACCUACUCGCUGACCAGCCGACUGAGAAUGCCAGCCUGGGAGUGGUUCAACCCUCUGAAUCGCUUUGAGUGUGUUGCCAAUUUUUUUCAGAAUGGAACAACAGCCUCAAAAAACAAAUUUAUCCAUGGUGAUGCUGGUUGUGCACUCACUGAAGAGUCGUACUUGCGGUAUGGAAAUUCCCUGAAGCUCACUUACCUCAUCCUCUGUGGCAAAGCCUUGGUCUAUGCAGUUUUGGUGAGUGGUCUGGUGUGGACGGCCAAGAACUCAAAUAAAAUCAAUGCUGUCUAG